GGAUAUUUCAUUCCCUAUAUGUAUAAGACCCUCUCAUUACUCAACACACACGGAUCAGACUGUACAAAAUACCUCUAAAAAUCCAGCUAUAUUGCUCCAUCAACUCUUCUACUUUUCUGCUUUUCACUAAAGUUUGGAACAAUUUUCUCCUUUGGAUUUCUGGUUUUUUAAGCUAAAAGUGACUUGAACUGAAGCUGUUGUUGGUUGAUACUGUUGUUUCUUUGCUGCUGUUUUCUGCUAUUUUCUACUGACCUCAAAAAUCUAUUUUCUUAUUUUGUUAACCUAAUGUAUCCAGGUACUUUCUUGAACCAUGAAUGGCAAAUGGAACGUGAACGUGCUUGUAUGGAAUAUGUACUCAUGUUGAAAUUAAUGGAGUUGUUCAUG
rnacentral:lncRNA from 1 species